UACGGGGGGGGCAAGCGUUGUUCGGAAUUACUGGGCGUAAAGGGCUCGUAGGCGGCCAACUAAGUCAGACGUGAAAUCCCUCGGCUUAACCGGGGAACUGCAUCUGAUACUGGAUGGCUUGAGUUCGGGAGAGGGAUGCGGAAUUCCAGGUGUAGCGGUGAAAUGCGUAGAUAUUGGGUGGAACACCGGUGGCGAAGGCGGCUCACUGGUCCGGUUCUGACGCUGAGGCGCGAAAGCGUGGGGAGCAAACAGG
rnacentral:rRNA from 1 species